UCUCGAUUGGUCUAGUGGUCAGGAUACCUGCUUGUCAUCUUUGUUUGUCAUCGAGCAAGCACGCAGGUGGCCGGGGUUCGAUUCCCCGAUCGAGAG